ensembl:lncRNA FAM86DP family with sequence similarity 86 member D, pseudogene
GGCCCCGCCCACGUCAUGGCGCCCGAGGAGAAUGCGGGGACCGAACUCUUGCUGCAGAGUUUCGAGCGCCGCUUCCUGGCGGCGCGCACGCUGCGCUCCUUCCCCUGGCAGGGGGGCGGCGGGCGAGCGGAGAGGCCCGCGGGGCUCGCGGGAGUCCAGGGGCAGACGGGAUGGGUCUCCGUGCUGAAACCCCCGGCGCUCCUGCCACAGCUUAGAAGCAAAGUUAAGAGACUCAUCAGAUUCUGAGCUGCUGCGGGAUAUUUUGCAGAAGACUGUGAAGCAUCCUGUGUGUGUGUGAAGCACCCGCCGUCAGUCAAGAAAGCCCGGUGCUUUCUCUCAGAACUCAUCAAAAAGCACGAGGCUGUCCACAUGGAGGCUUUGGACGAGCUGUAUGAGGCACUGGCAGAGACCCUGAUGGCCAAGGAGUCCACCCAGGGCCACCGGAGUUAUUUGCUGUAACCUGAAGCUUUCACCGUAGACGUGCUGUAUUGCCCAGAAGCCAUCGUGUCGCUGGUCGGGAUCCUGCGGAGGCUGGCUGCCUGCUGGGAGCACCAGCAGUCUCCUGAGGUCUACGUGGCCUUUACCGUCCACAACCCAGAGACGUGCCAGCUGUUCACCACCGAGCUAGGCCGGGCUGGGAUCAUAUGGGAAGCGGAAGCUCAUCAUGACCAGAAACUGUUUCCCUAUGGAGAGCACUUGGAGAUGGCAAUGCUGAACCUCACACUGUAGGACUCACACACGACUCCAACGGGAUUGUGAGAAUCAAGUCAAUCUCAUGGGAAGAAUUUUUAUAUGGGAAAGCGGAUAAAACUUUCAUUGUACUGGAAUGUUUGGAGAAUGUUAAAUUCCAAAUCAGAAACCACAAACUGCCCUCUAAUAAGACAUCGGCUAUCUAAGCGUGUGGGUGCCCCCUUUCUGCCAGCAGUUCUGGUUCUUACGAAAAUCACCAUAUAUCAGACAUGAAAAUUCUGGCUUUGUGCAGAUAAAAAAGUGUGUAUCAAGUAUGACGUUCCCCCAAUGUGGACACACUUGGUUCCUCAGAAAGCCAAGCCCACUGCAGCUGCCACAUCCCUGGACACACUCGGUUCCUCACAAAGCCAAGCCCGCUGCAGCUGUCACAUCCCUGGACACACUCGGUUCCUCACAAAGCCAAGCCCACUGCAGCUGCCACAUCCCUGAGCCUAUGGUGCAGCAGGUGCUUUUUUCAAGACAGGGAUCAAAGUGUUAGGAACACGGCAGAAAGGUGACACCUGGAGACCAAAUGCAGGAUGAGGAGUACUGCAGAGGUCACAGGGAAGUCAGAGAACAGUAAUACGCUAACAGGGGCACGGGGCAUGAAGAACAAAAGACAGGAAGCGUUUCAGAGACUCCAAAGAAGAAAUCAGGGCCAACCACAGCUUCCCGGGUCAUUCACCAGGUGGCACCACUGCCGUCAUUUCAGCUUCUGGCCACUGGGAGGCGCUGCUCGAAAGGGUUUGCCCUGACACUCCAAGAAGCUGCGGGAAGGACAGCAGGGGCCCUGGGGUUUUAGCCUCUGGCCCAGGAGUUAUGUGUCCAUAACCAAAGGGAGCACAGUCUGCACCCAGCUCUCAUCCCAUCAGAGCUGCUGCGACUCCUGCAGGUUCUUCCGGAACUGGUUUAGCUUGCCUGCAGGAUCAGGAAAGUUUGAGAAAAGCAUCUGCAAAAUACUAAAGAGCAGAGCUUACCUCAUUGCCUGUCCCCACCCCAUCCCAGGUCACCACCUGGCUGACCCCAGGUCCCCGACCCAACAACAACCCCUCCCAAGUCCCUAACUCCCUCACUUGGACUUGAGACCCUUCACACCCCAGCAGCGCUCCGCCUCCCACUUGACAUCAUGCUUUCUGGAAACUUCCCCGUAUGUCCCACUUUCCCACACUUGGUGCCCUGGAGCACCUUCCGGCCUCUACAUGCUGUACGUUCCCCUGUGAGCACCCUCCUCUCGGCCUCUGGCCAACACAGUCCCACCCAUCUGUGGGUAACAAGGGGGAGUGGGUGUUCUUUUCAGCCUUGCUAAACUCUCUGAAUCAAGGAUCACAAACUACAGCCUGCAGGCCAAAUCCAGCCCACAGCCUGUGUUUGUAAAUAAAGCUUUAUUGGAAGAAAGCCACACCCCUUAA